UCCGUCUAUAAGAGUGCGCCUCUGCGACUUUCACAUGUCACCCACUGAAGCUAAGCAGGGUUGCACCUGCGGUCAGUACCUGGAUAAGAGACCAUAUGGGAAAGCUAGGUUGCUGUCGGAA
rnacentral:rRNA from 1 species